GCUAAGUCUGGGCUGGGAGGCGCGGGAAGACAGGGGGUGGGAGGGUUAAUCGGAAUUACGGGGCGUAAAGGGCGCGUAGGCGGUUGUAUAAGUUAGAUGUGAAAUCCCCGGGCUUAACCUGGGAACUGCAUUUAAUACUGUAUGGCUAGAGUAGAGUAGAGGGAAGUGGAAUUUCCGGUGUAGCGGUGAAAUGCGUAGAUAUCGGAAAGAACACCAGUGGCGAAGGCGGCUUCCUGGACUCAUACUGACGUUGAGGCGCGAAAGCGUGGGUAGCAAACAGGAUUAGAUACCCCGGUAGUC
rnacentral:rRNA from 1 species